rnacentral:rRNA from 1 species
UACGGAGGGUGCGAGCGUUAAUCGGAAUAACUGGGCGUAAAGGGCGCGCAGGCGGGUUUUUAAGUGAGAUGUGAAAUCCCCGGGCUUAACCUGGGAAUAGCAUUUCAGACUGGGAAUCUUGAGUACUGUAGAGGGGGGUAGAAUUCCACGUGUAGCGGUGAAAUGCGUAGAGAUGUAGAGGAAUACCGAAGGCGAAGGCAGCCCCUUGGGAAUGUACUGACGCUCAUGUGCGAAAGCGUGGGGAGCAAACAGG